UCAUCUCUAUGACUAUAUUUCAUCAUACUCAUACUGUGCAACAAUUUUUUGUCUUCUUAUUCCUUCUCUUACUAGAGUAUAGUUAUUUUUUUUAUCCUUGUUAGUCUAGUUAGCUGCGUAGAAGCCUGAAACCAAUGCAACACUACAUGUAAGUAAGUUGGCACAAGAGAGCAGUGGGAUUGAGAAAACUAUACCAGUGCACCAGAGAUGAAGUAGGCACGAUUUGCUAAAAGCACACUGGGAAUGCGAAGCAUCUGGAACACAUUCACACACGAUCUCCUCCA
rnacentral:lncRNA from 1 species